rnacentral:rRNA from 1 species
AGUGAACGCUGGCGGUAGGCCUAACACAUGCAAGUCGAACGGCAGCACAGUAAGAGCUUGCUCUUACGGGUGGCGAGUGGCGGACGGGUGAGGAAUACAUCGGAAUCUACUUUUUCGUGGGGGAUAACGUAGGGAAACUUACGCUAAUACCGCAUACGACCUACGGGUGAAAGCAGGGAUCUUCGGACCUUGCGCGAUUGAAUGAGCCGAUGUCGGAUUAGCUAGUUGGCGGGGUAAAGGCCCACCAAGGCGACGAUCCGUAGCUGGUCUGAGAGGAUGAUGAGCCACACUGGAACUGAGACACGAUCCAGACUCCUACGGGAGGCAGCAGUGGGGAAUAUUGGACAAUGGGCGCAAGCCUGAUCCAGCCAUACCGCGUGGGUGAAGAAGGCCUUCAGGUUGUAAAGCCAUUUUGUUGGGAAAGAAAAGCAGCAGGUUAAUACCCCGCUGUUCUGACGGUACCCAAAGAAUAAGAACCGGCUAACUUCGUG